rnacentral:lncRNA from 1 species
UUAGCGAAUAGCGCUUUCUUAGGUACAGUGAAUUUUCACUGUAUUUAGCGAAAAACGCUACCUUAAGUACAGUGAAUUUUCACUGUAUCUAACACCAAGCAUAUUAUUUUAGAAUUUUUUGUUUUAGACACAUGGCAUUUGCUAUCCUACUAAUUUGCUGCUUUAGAGGCAUGGCAUUUAGUGUCACAUUACAUGUGGCAUGUGGUAUCCCACUAUUACAACUAAGUUUGUGUAUGGCUUGUUUAUAUUAUUUCAGAAUUUGCUAUUUUAGACACUUGGUAUAAGCUGUCAUACUAAUUUGCUGUUUUAGACACAUGACUUGUGAUAUCCCACUAAUUAGCUAUUUUAAACAUGUGACAAGUGGUAUGACACUCAUAUUCAAGAGUAUUUCUGCAUGGUGCACUCUGACUGUUUACAAUAUUUGCAUACUAAAAUGAGUAAAAGUGACUUCAACAACCAGAAUGUAUUUUUGAUAAAUAUUAGUAAUAACAGCUCAUAUUGAAACGAGAUAUUGUGUGAAGAGGUUUUCAAAGAAGUCGUCAAAGCUUCCAAUUCCCGAGAUAACCGUAAAAGCAUUCCAUACAUGAUUAAAGAAUCGUUUAAAAGUUUGCUUAAUUUCGACAGUGUAAUUUUAAUUACUAUUUUUUUAAAAAUAAACCAAUCAAUUUA